UACGGGGGGGGGUAAGCGUUGUUCGGAAUUACUGGGCGUAAAGGGCUCGUAGGCGGCCAACUAAGUCAGACGUGAAAUCCCUCAGCUUAACUGGGGAACUGCGUCUGAUACUGGAUGGCUUGGAUUUGGGGAGAGGGAUGCGGAAUUCCAGGUGUAGCGGUGAAAUGCGUAGAUAUCAGGAGGAACACCGGUGGCGAAGGCGGGUCUCUGGGCCGAUACUGACGCUGAGGAGCGAAAGCGUGGGGAGCGAACAGG
rnacentral:rRNA from 1 species